AUGACAAAUCUGGAAGCCCUGUGUACAAGAGUGAUGAAGGGGAGAUACUUUCCGGACUCGGAGUUCAUGCAAGCUACCACCCCGAAAUCAGCAUCAGCCACUUGGCGAGCCAUUGUUGCUGGACGAGAAGCUCUCAAAGUUGGCCUUAUCAAGCGGAUCGGUGAUGGUGCAUCCACCUCGGUCUGGAACGACCGAUGGAUCCCAUCGACUGUCACCAUGACACCGUUAUUCAGGCCUCCCAACACGCCGAUCCUCACAGUCGAAGAACUCAUUGAUCAUGAGAACGGGACCUGGAAACGUGACCUCAUUCGCUCAACUUUCAUCGCGUCGGAUGCAGAGGCAAUCCUGAAUAUUCCUCUCACGCAAGGCGGCGGUGUAGACUAUCUAGCAUGGGCACAGGAACGAUUGGGCAUCUACUCUGUCAAAACGGCCUGUCGAGCUCUAAUGAAUCAAAAAGAGCGUUCAGCUCUAGAAGAAGGGCAGAUAGCGGAACCAUCAACGAACGAACAACAGAUGUGGAGUGCUCUUUGGAAACUAAAAGUGGUCCCUAAAGUUAGGGUUUUUUGGUGGAGAGUGGUUCAUGGGAUCAUCCCGGAUGAAUGUACACUCAAACACCUGACAUAUCAAAGAAACAAGUAUAUGCGGUUCUGGGAGGAGACGAGGCUGCUCUUUGAAAUUAGACACCCGCGGCUUCACCCCAAUUCUUGGGCAAGGGACAUAUUGUGUGAUCAGCGGUUUUCUGACAAGGACCGCGCCACGAUCAUCACGGUUAUGUGGGCGAUUUGUAUGUCCCACAACAGAUAUACGCAUGAUCAGGAGAUCAUUGAUCCUGCCAGCUCGGUCAGGAGAAUUCGGGAAGAUCUUGCGCUGCUGGAUAUACCCGGACAAGUUUUUAUUCCUAUGCCGGGCCAUGGCUGGCGACCUCCAGAGGGAAACUACAUCAAGAUCAACACUGAUGCAGCGAUCCAUCGAGACACAGACACUGCAGCCAUUGGAGGCCUAGCCCGUUCUUCCUCGGCAUUCUUGGGUGCAUGGUGCAAACCCCAUCUAGGGGUCACUGAUCCGUUCAUUGCUGAGGUGCUCUCCAUUUGA
rnacentral:rRNA from 1 species